rnacentral:misc_RNA from 1 species
UACGAGGGGUGCAAGCGUUAUUCGGAAUCAUUGGGCGUAAAGGGUGUGCAGACGGUACAUUAAGUUAUCUGUUAAACUCUCCGGCCUAACCGGAGUCCAGCAGAUAAAACUAUUAUACUGGAGGAUGGAAGAGAGAAGUGGAAUUCUCAGAGUAGCGGUAAAAUGCGUAGAUCUCGAGAGGAACACCGAUGGCGAAGGCAGCUUCUUGGUCCAUAUCUGACGUUGAGGCACGAAAGCGUGGGGAGCAAACAGG